rnacentral:lncRNA from 1 species
CGACGACGACGACUGACCGACGGGGCCGAGGUACUAUCGUCGCCGACGGCGGAGACUUUAGACAACAUUCCCUCGGUCCGUCGACGACGAACGAACGAACGGACGGACGGACGGACGUACGUCGAACAACGACGAAGGGUGUAUUCCGAAAUAUAUUUCCAGUACUGCCGACCGUGACGUCACGCAGUCAACUGCGAACUGCGUUCCGUUUUUACUUCGGGUUGCCAGUCGCAGUAAAAUCGGAACGCUACACCGAGGUCGCGGCCAUCUCUCGAGUACUGCGACUGCCUCACGUCCCAGACCGCAGUAGUCGCAGUCAACAACGUCACGGAUAUCAUGACGUCACUGACUGGCGGCAGUAAGCUGUCGCGCGAUUUCGGAACGCGGUUGCCAGUACCUGCAGUAUCGGGAGUACAUUUCGGAAUACACCCGAAGAGAACGGCGGUAAUCGCGCUGCGUGCGACGCGCGGUUUCGUAAGGAGGAAUCGGGACGGUUGAAUCUCGUCUCUGCGGUAGGUGGAAAUAAAUUGGGUAUAACCUACGACGUCGGCGAGUUGGUUCUGGUCGUAGUACUCGGGGCUGAUGGUUCGGUGGCACUGCGGUGCAGCCGGCGGUGUAGGAUUAAUCCUGAACUGUGGACGGAGGGAGAAGCGGGAGUAUUAACGACCCCUUCGUUUACCUACCGCAAUUCAACAAUUGACAAACUGUAGCUAGGCUCUGGUCCGCGCGUAUCCGUGUGUUUGUGUAUGUAUGUACAAAGCGCGCUUCGCGCCCCCUGCAAAACUACUCGAGCCCGUUUCGAACUGUACUGUAUACAAAGGGCACUAAUCUUACCCGUUAUGAUUAUGGCUACGAGGACGAGUGUCUAUCUUUCUCUCGUUCCUUGAUCAGCGGAGUCGAGUGAUGUCACGAAGUCGCGUGUUCUGUUCGAGGAAUGAAAAUGAAGAUAAAUCCUCGACUCGCGAGUUGGCUGACAAUGAGGUAUAACCGAUAUGCGCUUGGAACGUAUCAUCGAGUCGUUGUACGAAGAUUUAUCGUUUUGAAAAGUUCAAAUUUUGGGGCAGAGUCUUGCGUGUUGUUUUCGGAAAAUCAAUUUUCUAAAAACUACAGAUUUUUGUAGUAAAUAUGGAAGAAAAUGAAAGUUACAAGGAAACUGAAGGUUUAAUAUACGGAGCUGGCAUCGCUAACUAUGGACGCUUUAAAGUCAAGAUAUCGUGUCAGCCAGAUUUAAAUAGGGUCAACUUCAAGCGGCCAUACCAGCGAGAUUUACCAUCGAAAACGAACAAAGAAAUCGUCCGCAUUACGUUAUUACUCUCUCUUUCAUGUGUAAAAAAUUUGGAUUUAUUAAAUAGAUUUUACUAUGAAAAGUGAAAAAAAAUAAA